UACGUAGGGCGCAAGCGUUGUCCGGAAUUAUUGGGCGUAAAGAGCUCGUAGGCGGUUUGUCGCGUCUGCCGUGAAAGUCCGGGGCUCAACCCCGGAUCUGCGGUGGGUACGGGCAGACUAGAGUGAUGUAGGGGAGACUGGAAUUCCUGGUGUAGCGGUGAAAUGCGCAGAUAUCAGGAGGAACACCGAUGGCGAAGGCAGGUCUCUGGGCAUUAACUGACGCUGAGGAGCGAAAGCAUGGGGAGCGAACAGG
rnacentral:rRNA from 1 species